GGGAAUAUGGCUCAGUGGUAGAGCACUUGCCUCGCAUGCAUGAAGCCCUGGGUUCAAUUCAUCAGUACCA
rnacentral:tRNA from 1 species